GGCUGAGUUCAUCCCAGGAAACCCUAAGGAUUCCAAAGGAUACAAGAGGAACCGAGGAUUCUCACACCUCCUGGUAAGAGACGACUCUGGCAAUAGAAUGGAGAUAACAGGCAUGAGAACAGUCUUCCUAAAGGAAUGACCAUCCAGACACUGCCACACUUGGGGAUCCAUCCCAUAAGCAACCACCAAAC